rnacentral:rRNA from 1 species
GAUGAACGCUGGCGGCGUGCCUAAUACAUGCAAGUCGAGCGAACAGACGAGGAGCUUGCUCCUCUGACGUUAGCGGCGGACGGGUGAGUAACACGUGGAUAACCUACCUAUAAGACUGGGAUAACUUCGGGAAACCGGAGCUAAUCCCGGAUAAUAUAUUGAACCGCAUGGUUCAAUAGUGAAAGACGGUUUUGCUGUCACUUAUAGAUGGAUCCGCGCCGCAUUAGCUAGUUGGUAAGGUAACGGCUUACCAAGGCAACGAUGCGUAGCCGACCUGAGAGAGUGAUCGGCCACACUGGAGCGGAGACACGGUCCAGACUCCUACGGGAGGCAGCAGUAGGGAAUCUUCCGCAAUGGGCGAAAGCUUGGCGGAGCAACGCCGCGUGAGUUAUGAAGGUCUUCGGAUCGUAAAACUCUGUUAUUAGGGAAGAACAAAUGUGUAAGUAACUAUGCACGUCUUGACGGUACCGAAUCAGAAAGCCACGGCUAACUACGUG